GGUGGGGUAAGAGCCUACCAAGGCGACGAUCAGUAGCUGGUCUGAGAGGAUGAUCAGCCACACUGGGACUGAGACACGGCCCAGACUCCUACGGGAGGCAGCAGUGGGGAAUUUUCCGCAAUGGGCGAAAGCCUGACGGAGCAACGCCGCGUGAGGGAUGAAGGCCUCUGGGCUGUAAACCUCUUUUCUCAAGGAAGAAGACCUGACGGUACUUGAGGAAUAAGCCACGGCUAAUUCCGUGCCAGCAGCCGCGGUAAUACGGGAGUGGCAAGCGUUAUCCGGAAUUAUUGGGCGUAAAGCGUCCGCAGGUGGCCCUGUAAGUCUGUCGUUAAAGCGUGGAGCUUAACUCCAUUUAAGCGAUGGAAACUACAGGGCUAGAGUGUGGUAGGGGCAGAGGGAAUUCCCGGUGUAGCGGUGAAAUGCGUAGAUAUCGGGAAGAACACCAGUGGCGAAGGCGCUCUGCUGGGCCAUCACUGACACUCAUGGACGAAAGCCAGGGGAGCGAAAGGGAUUAGAUACCCCUGUAGUCCUGGCCGUAAACGAUGAACACUAGGUGUCGGGGGAAUCGACCCCCUCGGUGUCGUAGCCAACGCGUUAAGUGUUCCGCCUGGGGAGUACGCACGCAAGUGUGAAACUCAAAGGAAUUGACGGGGGCCCGCACAAGCGGUGGAGUAUGUGGUUUAAUUCGAUGCAACGCGAAGAACCUUACCAGGGUUUGACAUCCUGCGAAUCCCUUGGAAACGAGGGAGUGCCUUCGGGAGCGCAGAGACAGGUGGUGCAUGGCUGUCGUCAGCUCGUGUCGUGAGAUGUUGGGUUAAGUCCCGCAACGAGCGCAACCCACGUCGUUAGUUGCCAGCAUUCAGUUGGGCACUCUAGCGAGACCGCCGGUGAUAAACCGGAGGAAGGUGUGGAUGACGUCAAGUCAUCAUGCCCCUUACAUCCUGGGCUACACACGUACUACAAUGCUACGGACAAAGGGCAGCGAUCCCGCGAGGGCUAGCAAAUCCCAUAAACCGUGGCUCAGUUCAGAUCGUAGGCUGCAACUCGCCUACGUGAAGGAGGAAUCGCUAGUAAUCGCAGGUCAGCAUACUGCGGUGAAUACGUUCCCGGGCCUUGUACACACCGCCCGUCACACCAUGGAAGUUGGCCACGCCCGAAGUCGUUACUCCAACCCUUGUGGAGGAGGACGCCGAAGGUGGGGCUGAUGACUGGGGUGAAGUCGUAACAAGGUAGCCGUACCGGAAGGUGCG
rnacentral:rRNA from 1 species